GGAUGAACGCUAGCUACAGGCUUAACACAUGCAAGUCCAGGGGCAGCAUUUUAGUUUGCUUGCAAACUGAAGAUGGCGACCGGCGCACGGGUGAGUAACACGUAUCCAACCUGCCGAUAACUCCGGAAUAGCCUUUCGAAAGAAAGAUUAAUACCGGAUGGCAUACGAAUAUCGCAUGAUAUUUUUAUUAAAGAAUUUCGGUUAUCGAUGGGGAUGCGUUCCAUUAGUUUGUUGGCGGGGUAACGGCCCACCAAGACAACGAUGGAUAGGGGUUCUGAGAGGAAGGUCCCCCACAUUGGAACUGAGACACGGUCCAAACUCCUACGGGAGGCAGCAGUGAGGAAUAUUGGUCAAUGGGCGAGAGCCUGAACCAGCCAAGUAGCGUGAAGGAUGAAGGCUCUAUGGGUCGUAAACUUCUUUUAUAUGGGAAUAAAGUUUUCCACGUGUGGAAUUUUGUAUGUACCAUAUGAAUAAGGAUCGGCUAACUCCGUGCCAGCAGCCGCGGUAAUACGGAGGAUCCGAGCGUUAUCCGGAUUUAUUGGGUUUAAAGGGAGCGUAGGUGGAUUGUUAAGUCAGUUGUGAAAGUUUGCGGCUCAACCGUAAAAUUGCAGUUGAAACUGGCAGUCUUGAGUACAGUAGAGGUGGGCGGAAUUCCUGCGGUACCGGUGAAAUGCUUAGAUAUCACGAAAAACUCCGAUUGCCAAGGCCGCUCACUAAACUGUUACUGACACUGAUGCUCGAAAGUGUGGGUAUCAAACACGAUUAGAUACCCCGGUAAUCUCCCCAGUAAACAAUGAAUCCUCCGCUGUUUGCGAUAUUACAGUAAGCGGCCAAGCGAAAGCAUUAAGUUUUCCACCUGGGGAGUACGCCGGCAACGGUGAAACCUCAAAGGAAUUGACGGGGGCCCGCACAAGCGGAGGAACAUGUGGUUUAAUUCGAUGAUACGCGAGGAACCUUACCCGGGCUUAAAUUGCAACAGAAUAUAUUGGAAACAGUAUAGCCGUAAGGCUGUUGUGAAGGUGCUGCAUGGUUGUCGUCAGCUCGUGCCGUGUGGUGUCGGCUUAAGUGCCAUAACGAGCGCAACCCUUAUCUUUAGUUACUAACAGGUUAUGCUGAGGACUCUAGAGAGACUGCCGUCGUAAGAUGUGAGGAAGGUGGGGAUGACGUCAAAUCAGCACGGCCCUUACGUCCGGGGCUACACACGUGUUACAAUGGGGGGUACAGAAGGCGGCUACCUGGUGACAGGAUGCUAAUCCCAAAAACCUCUCUCAGUUCGGAUCGAAGUCUGCAACCCGACUUCGUGAAGCUGGAUUCGUUAGUAUUCGCGCAUAAGCCAUGGCGCGGUGAAUACGUUCCCGGGCCUUGUACACACCGCCCGUCAAGCCAUGAAAGCCGGGGGUACCUAAAGUAGGUAAGC
rnacentral:rRNA from 1 species